rnacentral:rRNA from 1 species
GAUGAACGCUGGCGGCGUGCCUAAUACAUGCAAGUCGAGCGAACGGAUGAGAAGCUUGCUUCUCUGACGUUAGCGGCGGACGGGUGAGUAACACGUGGAUAACCUACCUAUAAGACUGGGGUAACUUCGGGAAACCGGAGCUAAUACCGGAUAAUAUUUUGAACCGCAUGGUUCAAAAGUGAAAGACGGUCUUGCUGUCACUUAUAGAUGGAUCCGCGCUGCAUUAGCUAGUUGGUAAGGUAACGGCUUACCAAGGCAACGAUGCAUAGCCGACCUGAGAGGGUGAUCGGCCACACUGGAACUGAGACACGGUCCAGACUCCUACGGGAGGCAGCAGUAGGGAAUCUUCCGCAAUGGGCGAAAGCCUGACGGAGCAACGCCGCGUGAGUGAUGAAGGUCUUCGGAUCGUAAAACUCUGUUAUUAGGGAAGAACAUAUGUGUAAGUAACUGUGCACAUCUUGACGGUACCUAAUCAGAAAGCCACGGCUAACUACGUG